GCAGGUGCGAAAGCAGGUCAUAGUGAUCCGGUGGUUCUGAAUGGAAGGGCCAUCGCUCAACGGAUAAAAGGUACUCCGGGGAUAACAGGCUGAUACCGCCCAAGAGUUCAUAUCGACGGCGGUGUUUGGCACCUCGAUGUCGGCUCAUCACAUCCUGGGGCUGAAGUAGGUCCCAAGGGUAUGGCUGUUCGCCAUUUAAAGUGGUACGCGAGCUGGGUUUAGAACGUCGUGAGACAGUUCGGUCCCUAUCUGCCGUGGGCGCUGGAGAACUGAGGGGGGCUGCUCCUAGUACGAGAGGACCGGAGUGGACGCAUCACUGGUGUUCGGGUUGUCAUGCCAAUGGCACUGCCCGGUAGCUAAAUGCGGAAGAGAUAAGUGCUGAAAGCAUCUAAGCACGAAACUUGCCCCGAGAUGAGUUCUCCCUGACCCUUUAAGGGUCCUGAAGGAACGUUGAAGACGACGACGUUGAUAGGCCGGGUGUGUAAGCGC
rnacentral:rRNA from 1 species